AAUGAGCGAAAGCUUGACGCAGCGACACCGCGUGUGGGAUGACGGUUCUAGGAUUGUAAACCACUUUCAGGAGGGAAGAAAAUGACGGUACCUCCACAAGAAGACCCGGCCAACUACGUGCCAGCAGCCGCGGUAAUACGUAGGGGUCAAGCGUUGUCCGGAUUUAUUGGGCGUAAAGAGCUCGUAGGCGGUUCAGCAAGUCGGUCGUGAAAGUUCAGGGCUCAACCCUGAAAUGCGAUCGAUACUGUUGGACUAGGAUACGGUAGAGGUGAGUGGAAUUCCGAGUGUAGCGGUGAAAUGCGUAGAUAUUCGGAGGAACACCAAUUGCGAAGGCAGCUCACUGGACCGCUAUCGACGCUGAGGAGCGAAAGCUAGGGGAGCAAACAGGAUU
rnacentral:rRNA from 1 species